CAGAAGUAUAUGAACAAUUUUAGUUGUGAUUAGACGGGCCAUGCCUACAACUCUGAAUUUAGGCAAAGCUUCGAUAGCUUGUGCUUAGGUAUUUCCUGUCACAUAGAAAUAAAAAGUUACUUAAUUUCUAGUUUUUAACAAGGAAGCAAUGAAAUGAAAACAACCUCUUCCCACAGAAGUGUUACCAAAAGUAUUAAGACAUGCUUGUCUUUCCCCUUGUCAGCAGAUCCUGCUGUGAGGCCGUGAAUCAACUCAUCUGUCGAAGAACCUUGUAGUGACGCAACAGCACCAGAAGGUCCGCAAAAUGCACCUAGGUGUUCAAGGACAGCAUUCAAAGUUCUGGUUAGAAGACAUGAGAAAGGACCUUUAGUGUGGUGCAAGGGGACGUUGGAGAGUUCCUGCAGUGAAUCACCUGAGCUAGACCGGUGCAGGCAACAUUCUCAGAUCUCCUCAGUAAGGUAAGGUAAGGAUACAGCC